GAAACCUUGUGGGAACACAGGGGGACCACCCCCUAAGGCUAAAUACUACUUAGUGACCGAUAGCGCAUAGUACUGUGAAGGAAAGGUGAAAAGUACCCUGAAUAAGGGGGUGAAAUAGAACCUGAAACCAUACGCUUACAAUCUGUGGGAGCCAUUAAGUGUGGUGACCGCGUGCCUUUUGCAUAAUGAGCCUACGAGUUACUCCUCUUUGGCAAGGUUAAGGACUUAAGGUCCGGAGCCGGAGCGAAAGCGAGUCUGAACAGGGCGCAUAGUCAGAGGGGGUAGACGCGAAACUUUGUGAUCUACCCAUGACCAGGUUGAAGGAUCAGUAACAUGAUCUGGAGGACCGAACCAGUAAACGUUGAAAAGUUUUUGGAUGAGUUGUGGGUAGGGGUGAAAGGCCAAUCAAACUGAGAAAUAG
rnacentral:rRNA from 1 species